rnacentral:lncRNA from 1 species
ACUUCCGGCAGCGCCGCGGCCGGGAGGGACCGAGCGGGGAGCAAGGCCUGCGGGGAGGCGCAGGAUGGACGCGUUGGCUGUCAUGAUGUAGGACCUCCUGACCUAGAACCAUGCCCGGCGCAGGGAGAACAACGAGCUUACGGACCGGGUGCGGGGGCUGCUGUGCGAGAAAGCCUACCUGCUGGCCCGGGAGCGUUCGCCGGCCCACCUGGUGGCUUUCCCUGGACGUUUAACGGCGACUCCGCCCGGCCUCCCGACUUUUUGAUGCAGGCGUUCUCUUACAUGACUUUCUUCGAGGCUAGAUUCUCGAAAGACAUCCUGAAGGUGGCUUUCUUAAUUAGCUGCCUCACCGGCUGGCGGAGCAGUUCGUAGUCGCCUACAUCGAGAGGGAGAGCCCCGUCCUGGCUCAGUACUGGGGCUUCGUGGACGCGCUGUAGCGGGUCUUCGCCGUCGUGGGUAGGAAACAGUCGGGCCGGAUCCCCGGUGUCUGGGGAGCGGCUGCCGGCCGGGCCCGCGCGAGCCGCUUCACUCCUACAAGCCCGGCUCACUAGUUCCAAGCUGCUGGACUUUGACCCUCGCUGGGAAGCUUGAUCGCCGCCUGUUCUCGCCAAUCUCUAUGCCUUUGCACUGCCCAGCAACCCGGUCACUGCCCAGGACCUGUUAAAAGUUGAAUGGACCUCCCAGAAUCACGCCGCUGCCACCGCCGUUUCUAGAGACGGCUUUUGGCCACCUUUGAGAAUCAGGGUCAAACUUGGAAGGGCCUGCAUUUGUCACACUUCCUCGGACACUAAUUUGGAUAGUUCAGGCCCAGAGACGGCUUCCCGGAUCCUUUGCACAUGGCCUGCUAUCAACAAUCCUCUACAAUGAUUCUCAGCAUCACCUAGGGAGCUUAUGUAAAAUCUCAAAUUCCUGGGCCCUAUCCCCAGAGUUUCUUAUCAAUUUCCUUGAUGGAGAACUAUCAAAGCAGUCAAAGCUAUCAAAAUAAAAAAGAAUUCUGAUUGGGUGCAGUGGCUCACACCUGUCAUUCCAGCACUUUGAGAGGCCAAGGUGGGCAGAUCACAUGAGGCCAGGAGUUCAAGACCAGCCUGGCCAACAUGGCAGAAACCCCAUCUCUACUAAAAAUACCAAAAUUAGCCGGGCAUGGUGGAACACACCUGCAAUCCCAGCUACUCGGGAGGCUGAGGCAAGAGAAUCGCUUGAACCUGGGAGGCAGAAGUUGCAGUGAAACAAGUUGGUGCCAAUGCAUUCCAGCCUGGAUGAUGGAGCGAGACUCUGUCUCAAGAAAAAAAAAACAAAAACAAAAACAGAACUCUGCCUCAUAGCGUCUUUUAAGUUAUACACUGGACCUAUCCUUUCCUCACUGACAGACAUUUUAAAAAUUUUUUGGUAAGGCCUAGUUCAUAUAAAAUGUAAUCCAAGCCAAAAGUUAACAAGAAUAAGGGGAGGAAAGGGGACUCCAAUAGCAGAGAAAGGUAUUUACCUGGGAUAUACACUGCAAGAAAAUCAAAGCUAUAAGAAACGUCCAUGAAUAGUAGCCAUAAGGCAUCAGAGUGAUAAAAUUCCUGUCCCUAGGAGGGAAUAUUGGAGUUUGCCAGAGAAACAGAAUGAGAGAGACAGAGAGGUUUAUUGUAGGAAUUGGCUCAUAUGAUUACGGAGGCUGAGAAGACCCACGAUCUGCCAUCUGCAAGCUGGAGAAUCAGGAAAGCUGGAGGUGUAAUUCAGUCAAGUCCAAUGGCCAGAGAAGCAAGUGUACUGAUAUCCAAGAGCAGGAGAAAAUAGAUGUCCCAGAACAAGCAGAGAGGCUGAUUUUGUCCUUCCUCUGCCUUUUUGUUUCAUAUGGGGCACUGAAUGGACUGAUGCCCAUCCACAUUAGUGAGGGUGGAUCUUCUUUACUCAGUCUACCAGUAGAAAUGUCAAUGACUUCCAGAAACACCCUCACCAACACACGUGGAAAUAAUGUUUUACCAGGUAUCUGGGCAUCCCUUGGUUCACUCAAGUUGACACAAAAUUAACCAUCACAGAAGGAGACUGGCCUUACUCUGAAAUUAGGAAACUAAAGAAGUGACCAGAAUGGAGACUAGGUAGAGACAACUAGUUCUCUACCAAACAUGUACAGUUAUUCGUUGGUAUCUGAAGGGGAUUGGUUCCAGGAACUCUCAGGGAUACCAAAAUCUGCAGGUGCUCAAGUCAUUUAUAUAAAAUAUUACAGUAUUUGCAUAUAACCUUUGCACAUCUUCCAUAUACUUUAAAUCAUCUCUACAUUACUUAUAAUAAUGAAUGUGUAAAUGCUAUGAAAAUAGUUACUACACUAUUGUUUAUUUGUAUUUUUAUUGAAUUGUUUUGGGGUGGGGGGCAGCUGUAUCUUUCUUAGUAAUAGAACCCCUGGUUUUAGCUGGGCACAUGACUGCCCUCAAUAAAGAUUAAAGUACCCCAGCCUUCCUUGAGAUUGUGGCCAUGUGACUGAACUUUAGACAGUGAGAUAUAAGCAGAUAUCUUCUGUGGCAGUGUUAGGAAAC